CAUUAGCUAGCAGUAAUAUUCUAACAUGGCCGACAGGAAAUGGCAGCUCAGAACAUUCCAGUGGAGCCGGCUCGUUUUCCUAAACGGGAAACAGGCAUGCUGAAAUGAAUAAGAGAAAGCUUUGACUAGUGUUGAAGACGAAUCAAAGUGUACAUAUAACAGGGAAGCCCUGGAUCCAGAGCUCUGCGUUGUCAUGGUGAGCACUGUAGUGAUGCCCAGUCCCACUCUGGCCGGAGCCGCAUCCAUGUUGAUCCAGAACGACACCCAGGAAAGGAUGACAGUGAGCAAGCUUGCUCUUAAUGAUCUUGUGGACUGUUGUUAUUGGAGUACCUCAACUACCAUACGAACUUAAACUUACCACCCAAAUAUUGGACCUCGCUUGCAGCUCUGCAUUGACCCGAAA